rnacentral:rRNA from 1 species
AGUGAACGCUGGCGGUAGGCCUAACACAUGCAAGUCGAACGGCAGCACAGUAAGAGCUUGCUCUUACGGGUGGCGAGUGGCGGACGGGUGAGGAAUACAUCGGAAUCUACUUUUUCGUGGGGGAUAACGUAGGGAGACUUACGCUAAUACCGCAUACGACCUACGGGUGAAAGCAGGGGAUAUUCGGACCUUGCGCGAUUGAAUGAGCCGAUGUCGGAUUAGCUAGUUGGCGGGGUAAAGGCCCACCAAGGCGACGAUCCGUAGCUGGUCUGAGAGGAUGAUCAGCCACACUGGAACUGAGACACGGUCCAGACUCCUACGGGAGGCAGCAGUGGGGAAUAUUGGACAAUGGGCGCAAGCCUGAUGCAGCCAUGCCGCGUGGGUGAAGAAGGCCUUCGGGUUGUAAAGCCCUUUUGUUGGGGAAGAAAAGCAGCAGGAUUAUACCCCGCUGUUCUGACGGUACCCAAAGAAUAAGCACCGGCUAACUUCGUG